rnacentral:rRNA from 1 species
AGUCGAGGGGCAGCAUUUUAGUUUGCUUGCAAACUNAAGAUGGCGACCGGCGCACGGGUGAGUAACACGUAUCCAACCUGCCGAUAACUCGGGGAUAGCCUUUCGAAAGAAAGAUUAAUAUCCGAUGGUAUAUUAAAACCGCAUGGUUUUACUAUUAAAGAAUUUCGGUUAUCGAUGGGGAUGCGUUCCAUUAGUUUGUUGGCGGGGUAACGGCCCACCAAGACUACGAUGGAUAGGGGUUCUGAGAGGAAGGUCCCCCACAUUGGAACUGAGACACGGUCCAAACUCCUACGGGAGGCAGCAGUGAGGAAUAUUGGUCAAUGGACGAGAGUCUGAACCAGCCAAGUAGCGUGAAGGAUGACUGCCCUAUGGGUUGUAAACUUCUUUUAUAUGGGAAUAAAGUNUUCCACGUGUGGNAUUUUGUAUGUACCAUAUGAAUAAGGAUCGGCUAACUCCGUGCCAGCAGCCGCGGUAAUACGGAGGAUCCGAGCGUUAUCCGGAUUUAUUGGGUUUAAAGGGAGCGUAGGUGGAUUGUUAAGUCAGUUGUGAAAGUUUGCGGCUCAACCGUAAAAUUGCAGUUGAUACUGGCAGUCUUGAGUACAGUAGAGGUGGGCGGAAUUUCGUGGUGUAGCGGUGAAAUGCUUAGAUAUCACGAAGAACUCCGAUUGCGAAGGCAGCUCACUAGACUGCAACUGACACUGAUGCUCGAAAGUGUGGGUAUCAAACAGGAUUAGAUACCCUGGUAGUCCACACAGUAAACGAUGAAUACUCGCUGUUUGCGAUAUACAGUAAGCGGCCAAGCGAAAGCAUUAAGUAUUCCACCUGGGGAGUACGCCGGCAACGGUGAAACUCAAAGGAAUUGACGGGGGCCCGCACAAGCGGAGGAACAUGUGGUUUAAUUCGAUGAUACGCGAGGAACCUUACCCGGGCUUAAAUUGCAUUUGAAUAAUCUGGAAACAGGUUAGCCGCAAGGCAAAUGUGAAGGUGCUGCAUGGUUGUCGUCAGCUCGUGCCGUGAGGUGUCGGCUUAAGUGCCAUAACGAGCGCAACCCUUAUCUUUAGUUACUAACAGGUCAUGCUGAGGACUCUAGAGAGACUGCCGUCGUAAGAUGUGAGGAAGGUGGGGAUGACGUCAAAUCAGCACGGCCCUUACGUCCGGGGCUACACACGUGUUACAAUGGGGGGUACAGAAGGCAGCUACCUGGCGACAGGAUGCUAAUCCCAAAAACCUCUCUCAGUUCGGAUCGAAGUCUGCAACCCGACUUCGUGAAGCUGGAUUCGCUAGUAAUCGCGCAUCAGCCAUGGCGCGGUGAAUACGUUCCCGGGCCUUGUACACACCGCCCGUCAAGCCAUGAAAGCCGGGGGUACCUGAAGUACGUAACCGCAAGGAGCUCCUAGG